CCUACGGGUGGCAGCAGUGAGGAAUAUUGGUCAAUGGACGAGAGUCUGAACCAGCCAAGUAGCGUGAAGGAUGACUGCCCUAUGGGUUGUAAACUUCUUUUAUAAAGGAAUAAAAUGAGGCACGUGUGCCUUUUUGCAUGUACUUCAUGAAUAAGGAUCGGCUAACUCCGUGCCAGCAGCCGCGGUAAUACGGAGGAUCCGGGCGUUAUCCGGAUUUAUUGGGUUUAAAGGGAGCGUAGACGGGUUGUUAAGUCAGUUGUGAAAGGCUGCGGCUCAACCGUAAAAUUGCAAUUGGUACUGGCAGUCUUGAGUACAGUUGAGGUAGGCGGAAUUCGUGGUGUAGCGGUGAAAUGCUUAGAUAUCACGAAGAACCCCGAUUGCGAAGGCAGCUUACUAAACUGUGACUGACAUUGAUGCUCGAAGGUGUGGGUAUCAAACAGGAUUAGAUACCCGAGUAGUC
rnacentral:rRNA from 1 species